rnacentral:piRNA from 1 species
UACUGAAUAUCGUCUUACCUGCCAGCUG